UAUACUAUUUUCAGAUCCCCAUU
rnacentral:snRNA from 1 species